rnacentral:misc_RNA from 1 species
CCUAUGUUUACUUGACCCUUGUUGCUUCGGCGGACCCGUCUUGGUAAAACGAGACCGCCGGAGGACGUCUUUCGAGACGUUCUCUGGCCCGCGUCCGCCGGGGACAUACACCUAAAAAUUCUUGAAUUAUCAACCAUGUCUUCUGAAUUAUAAUUAUAAAUUAAACAAAACUUUCAACAACGGAUCUCUUGGUUUUGGCAUCGAUGAAGAACGCAGCGAAAUGCGAUAAGUAAUGCGAAUUGCAGAAUUCCAGUGAGUCAUCGAAUCUUUGAACGCACAUUGCGCCCUUUGGUAUUCCGAAGGGCAUGCCUGUUCGAGCGUCAUUAUCACCCCUCAAACCCUGGGUUGCCUUUAACCGGGCCUCCCUAAAGUUUGGCGUUGGACGGUUGGUUCGAGUAAUCGAACCCCUCCCAAAGACAAUGACGGAGUCCUGUUCGACCCUCGGUACAUGGAGCACCUUUGCGGGAGCACGUGCCGGACCCCUAAAAGCGGUCGGGAGGACAUACGGUCACCACCUAUAUUUUUAACAAGG